GUCUACAGCCAUACCACCCUGAACGCGCCCGAUCUCGUCUGAUCUCGGAAGCUAAGCAGGGUCGGGCCUGGUUAGUACUUGGAUGGGAAAAUUAAAAGCUAGAAGAAAAUACCACUUUGUUAUCAGCA
rnacentral:rRNA from 1 species